GUCUGUUCUUCCUUAUGCACUGAGUUCCAGAGCUAAAAUGUAAUGCUUAUAGGUUCUUCAUGGAUUCUCAGAAGUUGUUUACUGAUUUCUGGUUAUUGGAGGAACUGCUUUAGCUUCUGUUUCUUAUAGAAAGCUGAUACUCUCACGAGGCAUUGAUUAAAGCUACUCUCAGCAUCCUGGAUGGAGCACAGGAGAGGUUGCACUUAUUUGGUUGCCAUUAUUUUCAUUACUAGUGCUUAGAUCCCAAAUCUUUGAUGGAAAAAUUCCCUAAAUGUCUAUCUAAACUUGGAAAGGCAACUGAGGUACUGUAAGGAGUUACAUAACUAGAUCUCUUCACAGGGUAAGCACCUACAUGCAUUUUUCCUGAAAUAUGGUUCUCUACUA
rnacentral:lncRNA from 1 species